GAGUUUGAUCUUGGCUCAGAUUGAACGCUGGCGGCAUGCCUUACACAUGCAAGUCGAACGGCAGCACGGGAGCUUGCUCCUGGUGGCGAGUGGCGAACGGGUGAGUAAUGCAUCGGAACGUAUCCUGGAGUGGGGGAUAACGUAGCGAAAGUUACGCUAACACCGCAUAUUCUGUGAGCAGGAAAGCGGGGGACCUUCGGGCCUCGCGCUCUUGGAGCGGCCGAUGUCGGAUUAGCUAGUUGGUGAGGUAAAGGCUCACCAAGGCGACGAUCCGUAGCAGGUCUGAGAGGAUGAUCUGCCACACUGGAACUGAGACACGGUCCAGACUCCUACGGAGGCAGCAGUGGGAAUUUUGGACAAUGGGGCAACCCUGAUCCAGCCAUGCCGCGUGAGU
rnacentral:rRNA from 1 species